UGGGGAAUUUUGGACAAUGGGGGAAACCCUGAUCCAGCCAUCCCGCGUGUGCGAUGAAGGCCUUCGGGUUGUAAAGCACUUUUGGCAGGAAAGAAACGUCAUGGGUUAAUACCCCGUGAAACUGACGGUACCUGCAGAAUAAGCACCGGCUAACUACGUGCCAGCAGCCGCGGUAAUACGUAGGGUGCAAGCGUUAAUCGGAAUUACUGGGCGUAAAUCGUGCGCAGGCGGUUCGGAAAGAAAGAUGUGAAAUCCCAGAGCUCAACUUUGGAACUGCAUUUUUAACUACCGGGCUAGAGUGUGUCAGAGGGAGGUGGAAUUCCGCGUGUAGCAGUGAAAUGCGUAGAUAUGCGGAGGAACACCGAUGGCGAAGGCAGCCUCCUGGGAUAACACUGACGCUCAUGCACGAAAGCGUGGGGAGCAAACAGG
rnacentral:rRNA from 1 species